UAAAGUGGGCAUGUCUGUAAAGGGGAGACUCGUGGGUACCCAUAGAACCCAUUUUCAUUCACAUAUCUUGAGGUCAGAGGUCAAGGGACCCCUUUGAACGUGCCAGUUUUUCCUCGCGAAAAUUUAGCGCGAGUUCAGAGCAUUUAUAUGACAUGGUUGGUA